CGAGCGGGCGUAGCAAUACGUCAGCGGCAGACGGGUGAGUAACGCGUGGGAACGUACCUUUUGGUUCGGAACAACACAGGGAAACUUGUGCUAAUACCGGAUAAGCCCUUACGGGGAAAGAUUUAUCGCCGAAAGAUCGGCCCGCGUCUGAUUAGCUAGUUGGUAGGGUAACGGCCUACCAAGGCGACGAUCAGUAGCUGGUCUGAGAGGAUGAUCAGCCACAUUGGGACUGAGACACGGCCCAAACUCCUACGGGAGGCAGCAGUGGGGAAUAUUGGACAAUGGGGGCAACCCUGAUCCAGCCAUGCCGCGUGAGUGAUGAAGGCCCUAGGGUUGUAAAGCUCUUUUGUGCGGGAAGAUAAUGACGGUACCGCAAGAAUAAGCCCCGGCUAACUUCGUGCCAGCAGCCGCGGUAAUACGAAGGGGGCUAGCGUUGCUCGGAAUCACUGGGCGUAAAGGGUGCGUAGGCGGGUCUUUAAGUCAGGGGUGAAAUCCUGGAGCUCAACUCCAGAACUGCCUUUGAUACUGAAGAUCUUGAGUUCGGGAGAGGUGAGUGGAACUGCGAGUGUAGAGGUGAAAUUCGUAGAUAUUCGCAAGAACACCAGUGGCGAAGGCGGCUC
rnacentral:rRNA from 1 species